CUUUGCAGUUCUGGGUGCCCUACCGAAGGUCCUAAAUCCGUCCUACCCGGCGUUAGUGGUGACUUCGGGGCCUUCUUCGAUCGAAUCAGAAAAACUGAUGAGGAGUUAGGAGGAGCUGGCUCGGUGAAAACCGGUGUGAUUCCAGUUUGUCACCAAAGAGCCACCGCCGGAAGCCUGCCCAGUCCAAGGUGGCAAACGCCCAAGUGCAGGCUGGAAGUCGCUGUAUGGCUUACAAUUCCGACUUACAUUGCACCGAAGAUGUAAGAGCACGUAAAAUUGUGCGGUUUGUUUUUCUUAACUUACUGUGAAAAUGUUCAUGUAGAUGUGAAGCUGAGAAAAAAAAAAAAAAAAAAAAGACAACCAAACCUCUGAGGGGACUUAGAGGAGUCUCAGAACUAGUGCCUAAGGUGUGGCAUCUCGGACAGAAUGCCCAGAGAACGGGUAUUGCCCGUCUGGAGAUGAAGGUUCUAGAUCUUAUUUGUACAGACCUAAGGAUGACACAAAGGCUGCGACCAAAGGAAAUGGACAUCCGCUCUUCAGCUGUAAUUCCACCCUCUUCAUAAUUCACACAUAACUAGGAAUCUGAGAAGGCUACCUUCUCAUUGGAACAUAUGGGGUUGCUGGGUGGUGGUGGCAGCACAUGCCUUUAAUCCCAGCACUCAGAGAGGCAGAGGCAGGAAGUUCUCUGUGAGUUCGAGGCCAGCCUAGACUACAGACUUAGUUCCAGGACAGCCAGAGAUACACGGAGAAACCCUGUCUCGAAAAACAAAACAGGAGAAAAAGAAAAAAAGAUAUGGGGGUUCCUCUGUGUAGCUUUGGAGCCUGUCCUGGAACUAGCUCAUAGACCAGGCUGACCUCGAACUCACAGAGAUUGGCCUGUCUCUGCCUCCCGAGUGCUGUGAUUAAAGCUCCUGACCCAGCAAAUACAGAAAUUGAAAGCAACAAAUACAGAAAUUGAAAGCAUCUCCCUACCAGAAAGGAUAAAGACAACCAUUUAUUGAUUUUACUUGGUAAGCAAUAAUGAAGGCUGGGCGGUGGUGGUGCAUGCCAUUAAUCCCAGCACUUUCUAGGCAGGGGCAUCAAAUCUCAUGAGUUCAAGGCCAUCCUGGUCUACAGAUCAAGUUCCAGGACAGGCUCCAAAGCUACAGAGAAACCCUGUCUCCAAACAAAAGAAAACAAAAC
rnacentral:lncRNA from 1 species